GACGUAGGGGCCGAGCGUUGUCCGGAGUUACUGGGCGUAAAGGGCGCGCAGGCGGUUGGUCACAUCGGCGGUGAAAGCCCCCCGCUCAACGGGGGAGGGUCCGCUCGAGAUGGGCCGACUGGAGGCAGGGAGAGGGGCGGUGGAAUUCCGGGUGUGAGUGGUGAAAUGCGUAGAUAUCCGGCAGGAACACCAGUGGCGAAGGCGGCCGC
rnacentral:rRNA from 1 species